AUUUAAAUAGUUUAAUUAAAACAUUGAUUUGUGGUGUCAAAAAUUUAUUAAUAAUAAUUUAAAUU
rnacentral:tRNA from 1 species